UACGGAGGGUGCAAGCGUUAAUCGGAAUUACUGGGCGUAAAGCGCACGCAGGCGGUCUGUCAAGUCGGAUGUGAAAUCCCCGGGCUCAACCUGGGAACUGCGUUCGAAACUGGCAGGCUAGAGUCUUGUAGAGGGGGGUAGAAUUCCAGGUGUAGCGGUGAAAUGCGUAGAGAUCUGGAGGAAUACCGGUGGCGAAGGCGGCCCCCUGGACAAAGACUGACGCUCAGGUGCGAAAGCGUGGGGAGCAAACAGG
rnacentral:rRNA from 1 species